UACGGAGGGGGCUAGCGUUGUUCGGAAUUACUGGGCGUAAAGCGCGCGUAGGCGGCUUUGCAAGUUAGAGGUGAAAGCCCGAAGCUCAACUUCGGAAUUGCCUUUAAAACUGCAAAGCUAGAAUCAUGGAGAGGUGAGUGGAAUUCCGAGUGUAGAGGUGAAAUUCGUAGAUAUUCGGAAGAACACCAGUGGCGAAGGCGACUCACUGGACAUGUAUUGACGCUGAGGUGCGAAAGCGUGGGGAGCAAACAGG
rnacentral:rRNA from 1 species